UCCCAUAUUGUCUAGUGGUUAGGAUACCCGGCUCUCACCUUCUAUUAUCAAAGAGAGUUCCCGGGAGGCCCGGGUUCAAUUCCCGGUAUGGGAA
rnacentral:tRNA from 1 species